GCCGAUGAUGACACUACUGAUUUUCACUGAAAGCAGGUCUAUGGAUCUGCCUAAUUGUUGAAAUUCAUGAACUAGGACGGUCUGAGGC